AUGGACAUGAGGGUGCCUGCUCAGCUCCUGGGCCUCCUGCUGCUCUGGCUCCCAGGUGCCAGCUGUGCUGUUCAGAUCACCCAGUCACCAUCCGUGGUGUCUGCACCUGUGGGAGGCACAGUCACCUUCAAUUGCCAGUCAAGUCAGAGUGUUUACAACAACAAUAAUCUAAACUGGUACCAGCAGAAAUCAGGACAGCGACCUAAGCCCCUGAUCUAUGCUGCAUCCAAUUUAGAGUCUGGGGUCCCUGACAGGUUCAAGGGCAGUGGAUCUGGGAAAUCAUUCACUCUCACCAUCAGCCCGGUGCAGGCUGAGGACGCAGGAACCUACUACUGUUUUGGAGAGUAUGAUGAUGAUAAUGAUACCACAGCAAUACAAGCCCUAAUAAAAACCUCCCAGGAAAGCAGAAGUAUGACACAGUCUCCGUCUCUGGCGUAUGCAACUGUGGGAAACACAGUCAGCAUCAAUCGCCAGAAGAGUCAGAGUGUUGAGAACAACAAUGCUCUAGCCUGGUUUCAGCAGAAACCAGGGCAGCCUCCAAAGCGCCUGAUCUACAGUGCAUCCACUUUAGAGUCUGGGGUCCCUGACAGGUUCAAGGGCAGUGGAUCUGGGACAUCAUUCACUCUCACCAUCAGUGGGGUGCAGUCUGAGGAUGUCAGAACUUACUACUGA